ACGCUGGCGGCAGGCCUAACACAUGCAAGUCGAGCGGUAGAGAGAAGCUUGCUUCUCUUGAGAGCGGCGGACGGGUGAGUAAUGCCUAGGAAUCUGCCUGGUAGUGGGGGAUAACGUUCGGAAACGGACGCUAAUACCGCAUACGUCCUACGGGAGAAAGCAGGGGACCUUCGGGCCUUGCGCUAUCAGAUGAGCCUAGGUCGGAUUAGCUAGUUGGUGGGGUAAUGGCUCACCAAGGCGACGAUCCGUAACUGGUCUGAGAGGAUGAUCAGUCACACUGGAACUGAGACACGGUCCAGACUCCUACGGGAGGCAGCAGUGGGGAAUAUUGGACAAUGGGCGAAAGCCUGAUCCAGCCAUGCCGCGUGUGUGAAGAAGGUCUUCGGAUUGUAAAGCACUUUAAGUUGGGAGGAAGGGCAGUUGCCUAAUACGUAACUGUUUUGACGUUACCGACAGAAUAAGCACCGGCUAACUCUGUGCCAGCAGCCGCGGUAAUACAGAGGGUGCAAGCGUUAAUCGGAAUUACUGGGCGUAAAGCGCGCGUAGGUGGUUUGUUAAGUUGGAUGUGAAAUCCCCGGGCUCAACCUGGGAACUGCAUUCAAAACUGACUGACUAGAGUAUGGUAGAGGGUGGUGGAAUUUCCUGCGUAGCGGUGAAAUGCGUAGAUAUAGGAAGGAACACCAGUGGCGAAGGCGACCACCUGGACUGAUACUGACACUGAGGUGCGAAAGCGUGGGGAGCAAAC
rnacentral:rRNA from 1 species